AUGAACGCUGGCGGCGUGCUUAACACAUGCAAGUCGAACGGAAAGGCCUCUGCUUGCAGGGGUACUCGAGUGGCGAACGGGUGAGUAACACGUGGGUGAUCUGCCCUGCACUUCGGGAUAAGCCUGGGAAACUGGGUCUAAUACCGGAUAGGACAAUGGUUUGGAUGCUGUUGUGGAAAGUUUUUCGGUGUGGGAUGAGCUCGCGGCCUAUCAGCUUGUUGGUGGGGUAAUGGCCUACCAAGGCGUCGACGGGUAGCCGGCCUGAGAGGGUGUACGGCCACAUUGUGACUGAGAUACGGCGCAGACUCCUACGGGAGGCAGCAGUGGGGAAUAUUGCACAAUGGGCGCAAGCCUGAUGCAGCGACGCCGCGUGGGGGAUGACGGCCUUCGGGUUGUAAACUCCUUUCGCUAGGGACGAAGCGUUUUUGUGACGGUACCUGGAGAAGAAGCACCGGCUAACUACGUG
rnacentral:rRNA from 1 species